CAGUAAAUGAGUAAUGUUUGUUGAUUUGUAAGCUAUGUAGCUACUUCUAACAUAUAAGCAUGUAUGCUGGUAGAAUAAGUGUUUUUGCUAAUAUUUUUACUUCUGUGAAGAACAUGUAGCUUUGUUUAACUCUAUACAUAAUCAGUCUUUCUCAUUAACAAGUCCUUGUCAUCAGGUGAAGUUCCAUCAACUUUGAAGACUGCAAGAGUACUUCCCAUCCUGAAGAAGCUCACGCUUGACAGCUCUGAUGUCAACAACUACAGACCGAACCAGCUCCAGGACCCCAACCAGUCUGGCUUCAAACCAGCGCACUCAACAGAAACUGCUCUUAUAGCAGUGACAGAGAAGCUCCAGACAGCAAGAUCAGCCAGUCUGUCAUCUGUCCUGAUUCUUCUUGACCUCUCAGCAGCUUCUGACACGGUCAACCACACAAUCCUUCUGGAUGUCCUCACCAACCUUGGAAUCACUGGCUCUGCGUGGAAGUGGUUCAAGUCCUAUCUGGAGGAUCGCUCUUAUUAGGUUUCCAGUCGGAUCUCAUCAUGUCUGUCUGACAUCUCUUCAUGGAUGGCAGCU